ensembl:lncRNA
CCGCCAUAUAAAUCCACAGAAGAAGAAGAUUGUUUAUUUUUUUUGCAUGAGGAAGUCGAGAAGGAAAUGGUGACUGUGCUUGAAUCUGAAAAUGCCGCAAGUGACGUGUGAUAAUGAGUGGAAAAUAGUGUAAUCAAAGAAUGGAACAAAACGAGCAAAGAUUGUAGUGGAAGACAAGGACUGGACCAAUAAUGUAUUUCUUAUUGGACAAGGAGAUUCAAUUGGGAAAUCCAUUUGUAAUAUCGAGGACUGUGAAGGAACUAGUGGGAAAAGUGGAUUCAAUCAAGGUGACUAGAAGCGGCCUUCUUUUAGUUAAUUCUGUUGAUGAAGAACAGAAGAUGUGUGCACUGGAUCUGGCAAAAUUGUCCAUGCCAGAGGUAACAUGUUUUGAUCUUCAGAGCAGGGCGCCUACCAAAGGAGUUAUAGCUGGAGUCUCGUUGGAUACAGAUGAUGAGUACCUUAGUCAGAAAAUCUCAGGAGUGGUCAGUGCACUUCGCUUGACCCGUAUAUGGUGAAUGGAAGGAAGGAGAAAAGCCUGUUGAUAUUAUUGUUCUUUGAGGAGACUGGAUAUGUGAGUGCCCUGGAGACACAGCCCGUGAUAAGAACAUCCAUGACUCUGUCAGUGCCCAGAUCAAGAAGAACUUUACCAAGAGCUAAUGGAAGCUGAGGGGGGCUGCUCCCAGAGUGCGGAUCAGAUCAAGACUCCCUGACCAACUGUACCCACCGCUAACCUGCAACAAGCUGCAUCUGUUCCCCCGGACACAAAGGGUGUUGCCAACCAAUGACUUUCGCACGAUAUACCUGUGGAGUCCAGAGAAACUCCCCAGUCUGGCCCAGAACACAGAGCUGUUGUUCCAAAGAAAAGGAGAGCUAUUGUAUGUACCCACUGCAUUCCUGGGUGAUAUUAUUUUGAGAGUGGGACAGAGCUUGUAAAGUGUUUUUACUCAUGCUUUUAAAAAUGUACCUCUGCUUUUUCCCCCCCAUCUCUGUGUUUCUGUACAUGAUUUUUAUAAUCGUUAUUAUCCUUCCCUGUUCACAACAUAGGACUGAGCCACUGAUGUUACCUGCAUGAUCAGAUGACAGGCAGACAGGUUCUCAUGCAUGUUGACUGGCAACAGGUGUUUUUAUAGCAUGACAAGUCUACUGCAGAACUAUACUGAACAAAAAUAUAAACGCAACCAUUUCAAAGAUUUUACUGAGUUACAGUUCAUGUGAGGAAAUCAGUCAGAUAAUCUUGGCAAAGGAGAAAUGCUCACUAACAGGGAUGUAAACAAAUCUGUGCACAACAUUUGAGAGAAAUAAGCUUUCUGCGCAUGGACAAUUUCUGGGAUCUUUUAUUUCAGCUCAUGAAACAUGGGACCAACACAUGUUGUGUUUAUAUUUUUGUUCAGUGUAUGUGGUACCACCCAUUGUGGAAUAGUUUCCAUACAGCAGAUAAUGCAGCUAAUACUUCACGAGAGAUGGACUUACAUGAAGUGCUGUUCCUCAAACUAAGAAUAGGUCUCAUUUAACCCAGUUUUACUCUUGUUUAAACAACAUUCUAACCUGAUAGGGCAAUAUGAUCCUGUUGAUAAAGACUCUUUUAUGGGGAGUUUCAGCCUGGAUUUGAACUGGUCAAAACUUUAUCUAUUUAAGUUAAGACCAUGGGAGAUAUGAGCUCAGUUUAAGAGCACGGAAUAGAUAUGCACGAAUAGAAAGCCAAAUAUAUGUUUUUUACUGUGUAGAUACAACCAACCCCCUUUGGAUCACCCUUCCAUGGAUCUUUUCUUCAUUCAUAUUGCGGUUGAUUUUUCAAGCAAUUGUAUUGUGUACAGAGAGAACUUGAAUGUAAAUAUUAAUCCAGUCAUCUCACUUCAUUAAAUGUCACUCACCAUAAGGUCAUGUUAAAUUUUCAUAACCUAUUGGACAUACAAAAGUGGGAUUUUGUUAUUCACUCAAGAAUACUCAUUUUACUAAAAUGUUUGUGCAUUUUACAAUUGAAUGUAUGUACAAGAAACAGCUUGCCCUGGCAACCUUCAGGGUGGCAUUGAAAAGUCUGACAUGGAAUAUAUACCCUAAUCUGUGAUCUGUGUAAGACGCAAUAUCUAAUGAGAAAUUGUCAGUUGUAACCCAUUAGGUUGAGGCUUUCAGCCCGAGAUGGUUGGCCAUGGAAUAAAAAAUAAGUUGGUGUGCUUUUGCACCCCUUUUAGGUCUUCAUAAAUAUCCAUCCCAUGUCCAGUCAUACUCGUGGUCUCAGCGUGUGUCCGUCAACGUCAG